GCGGGCACCUCGAAUGGAGAUUGGGCACCUUCUGGGCAGAACUGAAAAUGACUCCAUGUAAGUUAUUGUGAUAUAUAUGUAAAUAUCAGUAUCUAUACAACCUUGCCAAGGUUGGGGUCGUGGGUUCGAAUCCCAUCGCCCGCUCCA
rnacentral:tRNA from 1 species